ACAGGUGCAGCGCCCUUGGCGCCGCCCUCCGCACCCCACGCGCCCCCCUCCGCUCCCCGGCCGACGGCCCACCUGGGCUUCGUGAACAGUGGGAGGGAGAGUCUGGGGCCAGGAGAGGGACGAUGCACGAUCAGGGAAAGGUAGAAAUCAGAAGUACAUGCAAUAGGAAUUAACUUGAAUAUGAUGUAUAAAGUUUGAAGAAAAGGCUCUCCCUCUGUCACCCAGGCUGGAAUGCAGUGGCACGAUCUUGGCUCACUGCAAACUUAGCCUCCAAAUUCAUGUGAUUCUCCCCCCUCUGCCUCCUGAGUAGCUGGGAUUACAGAUACAGGGUCUCACUCUGUUGCCCAGGCUGGAGAACAGUGGCAUGAUCAUGCAUUCAUUAUUCACUGCAGACUUAAACUUCUGGCCUCAAGCAAUCUUUUAACCUUGACCUCCCAAAGUGCUGUGAUUACAGGUGUGAGCCACUGUGUUUAGCCUAGACUUACUUUUAAUAGCUUUUGAUAAGUUAUUUUUUAAUGUAAUUUUGAUAAAAUAAUUGUACCUAAAAUGUACUAAUGUGUUGGUAU
rnacentral:lncRNA from 1 species